rnacentral:tRNA from 1 species
CAGGGAGACAACAAAAUGUUUAAUAUUAUUAUUUUGUCACCUUAGGUCGAUCGGUAUCUCACGUUUUUAAUUUAUUAAGAAUUUCAUUUCCUAAGUUUUUCUAGGUCACACCCAUUAUUUUUCCUGGGCCAUUAGCUCAGGUGGUUAGAGCGCACCCCUGAUAAGGGUGAGGUCCCUGGUUCAAGUCCAGGAUGGCCCAUAUCUCUAUGUUGGGGGUAUAGCUCAGUUGGUAGAGCGCCUGCUUUGCAAGCAGGAUGUCAGCGGUUCGAGUCCGCUUACCUCCACUGAUCACCACCUCUUCCAUAACCGGUAGAAAGGAAAUUUUUGAGUUGUGAUCAAAUUCUGAAAGAAUCUAGCUUCCUAAUGAAAUCAUUAAGAUGCUGGACUCAUUGAAUUAAUUUCAUUGUUUUCAGAGAACCUUGACAACUGCAUAGAUUAUUUUUAAAGACAAUAAGCAUCUUUAAUGAUGCAGAUUUAUUAUUUGUGCAAAUGCAUUAAUAACAAUUCUAUUAAGCUGAUGCUUCAAUAUUUGAAGUUAUU